rnacentral:rRNA from 1 species
AGGAUGCGAGCGUUAUCCGGAUUUAUUGGGUUUAAAGGGUGCGUAGGCGGCCUGCCAAGUCAGCGGUAAAAUUGCGGGGCUCAACCCCGUACAGCCGUUGAAACUGCCGGGCUCGAGUGGGCGAGAAGUAUGCGGAAUGCGUGGUGUAGCGGUGAAAUGCAUAGAUAUCACGCAGAACCCCGAUUGCGAAGGCAGCAUACCGGCGCCCUACUGACGCUGAGGCACGAAAGUGCGGGGAUCAAACAGGAUUAGAUACCCUGGUAGUCCGCACAGUAAACGAUGAAUGCUAGCUGUCCGGGGGGAUUGACCCCUGGGUGGCACAGCGAAAGCGUUAAGCAUUCCACCUGGGGAGUACGCCGGCAACGGUG